AAGUAUGAUGUGGGUCACUACAAUGUCCAGCUGAAAGUCUGGACAGUGAACACAAGUUUUCUGACCAACAUGGAAGCAAAGGACAUACAGCCUAACAGAGUACAGUGACGUACCAACACCUGGUCAUGGCGUACUGCCAGCAGAGGGACAUAGAGGGGCCAGCCAAUUGACACCCUAGUGAAGUACUGUGACCAGCUCCUGGAGCAAGGCAUUCACACCGUCCCCCUGCAGUUUGCACUGAAAUGUGCACUGGAAGAUAACAAUGCUGAAUAUGCCUACAGCAUUAUGAAAGUCCUGAAAGAGAAACCUAGCUUGUGACACGAAGAUCAUGGACAACCUGCGCGGUGCCAUCAGUGUCAUGGCGGGCAUGCCGAUAGCCGUGGCGUUUAUUACAUGGAUUGGCAUGGCCAUGGCCUUCGUGCUCUUCCGCAGCAAAGAUGGCGGACCGCCGACCUUCAUCAUCAGAGGACAUGAAUACAAGGCAUUUGCCUAAACAAGCAGAUAGCACAAUCUUCAAUAUCUACACUUGUACGACUUCAAGUGACCGUUCACUUUUAGAUCUAGAGAUCAACGCGAGCUGAAAUAUAAUAGUGCACAAUCCCACAUUGG